GUAUAUUCAUCGGACCCAUUCUUCUUUCAGUUUCAGCAGUGGCUUCCAUACCGAAUCUAGGGUGUGGAGCUGAAAAAGGAAAUGGAUACAAUGGGGUUUGUAAGUUCAAAGAAGAGUAAAGGGACAUUGAGAUAUUGAUUCAAGGUUGCAAUGACCUUAAGCAACGUAUAGACUUGUCUUGUGUUAAAGAAAAUGCUGUGGUCUUAACAAUUGGUUAGGAAAACCAAUUCUAAUGGUUCUAAUUCUACAGGUGAUUCCACAUUUUCAAAGUGUCCAUUUGACAAUUAGAAUUAGUUUUCAUAUCACUUGCAAAGGCCACAGGAUUCACUUAAACGCAAGAUGAAUCGUUCUUUUGGUUUAGGGAGACAAUGUUUCUUGCAUCUGAUGGCAUGCAAUUACAGAGAAGAUGAGGUGUUUCUAAGUAGUAUUUUGUAUUUAUUGGCUAUGAGCCCUCAGACAUUCAAGGUUUUACCUGUCCUGAGUGGUGGUAGUGGUUUGCAAGAUUUGAAGCAUAUUAUUACAUUGUCAAAUGUAAAGGAUCAUAUUGGUUUUUCAGUUUGGUACAUAAAUGCCUCUUUAAUUGCUACAUGUGUAUGUUUGUGUGUGUCUUUUUAUAUUUAAAAUAUUAUAUAUCCUUAUAACGAUACAAGGAGAGAAAAGUGAAUGUAGAUUAUUUCAGAAGAUAAGAUUACAUUGUUACUUCUGACUGAUACUCAUUUAUUUCUUGUUUCAUGUCAUUUCUUAUCUUUCUUUGUUUUAGAUAUGAUAGGCAUUAUUUUCUUUUCAUGCCAUUUAUUCAAUAAAUUGAUAAUUGUUGUUUCUUGAUAUACUGUAAUAGCUGAUUGGAUGCUCAUUUGGCCUUUUCUCAGGCUCUUGCUUUGGUGAUCAAGUAAGAAUCGCUUAGUACACUGGUGUGUUUUUUAUAAAGGAGAUAGACUAGUGUUAUUCUACAAGGAGAUUACACAGGCAAAUAUGGACUUCUUAGUUUCCUGGUUGAGCACUAUGCAAAACAGGAGGUUAGUAGAGUUCAAAACAAGUUAUCUGAUUCAGUUCUGUCCAGAAAUUUUUAGAGAAUAUAUAGUCAGAGGUCGAUUGGUUGGCCACAUAAGAAAGUAUAAACACACACAAAAUUCUGCAUGUGUAAUAUACUAUGUUUGGUUGGCAACAUAAAACUUUGUAUUGCUAAUUUGAUUUCCGGUGUAAAACUAUGCAUAACAAAAUCCCCUCCAUCCCAAUUUAAGUGUCUUGGUUUGAUUGAGCAUAGAGUUUAAGAAACAAAGGGAGACUUUUGAAUCAUAAAAAAAGUGCUUUUAAGCACUUGUUUUUAAGCCAAAAACUAUAAGUCCAUCCAAACAAGCUCUAAGACACUUAAAUUUGGGACGGAGGGAGUACUUCUUUUGUUGUGGUACUAACUAUGUAUUGCUAAUAACAACAUAAUUAUGUGCAAUUCAGUGCAUUAUCUUAUGUGGGAUAGGAUAUGGAAUAAAAAUAGUAAUUAUCGAUACUUGGAUAAGAGUAUCUAGAAGCAUAAAUAUUGCUUUUAAAGUAGACAAUUAUUCCGCUCAUAAAAAUCAAAUGGCCCCUCAAGGUAUGGGUAGUGUGUGCCUAUUUCCUAUACAAAGACCUUGAGGACAUGCAACAAAUGGGCAGUAAGACUGGCAGAUCUCUUGGUCAAAUGUCUCUCCAACUCUUUUACGCCAAGUAUUAUCAUAUUCAUGUGAGUAAUAUCUCUUUUAUUGAGAAUUGCUAUAUAUGCCAAAUAAACUUGUCCAAUUUUUUUUAUCACAGUAGCGGUAGAUCACAUCAUAAAAAAAGAUGUGCCAUUAUUGGGAAAUACCUUACUUAUUCCUAAAUAAUUUCUUUAAAAAGAUUGUGGUCGGAUUUUGUUAUGGUCUUUAUCUAUCUCUAUCACAAAUCAAGUGUAAUAACUGCGACUCUUUUAGGAGAUAUUUACACAUUGCAUUGUCAACCCGGUUGUACUCUUUGGUUGUAAGGUCCUGUCUGAUCCAAUUGAUAGUAAUUUGUGACCCCUCAGUGGUCAUAAUUAUUUACAUUAGGGUGUAAAAGGUACUCUAUUGAUCUAUUUUCUUGUGAAUUUGUAUUCCUGAUGUUUGGCACUUUUAGGAUAAUGGUAGCUGGUCGGUUCCAUUCAUUACUAUUGAAUUCUCAAUGACUAUCGACUUAGCUUGUACAGUCACACUCAUUAGGCACUUGUAUGAGAGAGAUUAAUUCAACCACAAUCCAUAUAGUAGGCUUCUAUAAUCUGUCAAUCUUAAACAAGAAUUGGGAGAAUCACAUUUCUAGAGAUCACACACUUUAUAUUGUGAUUUUGGUAUCAAAAAUAGUAAAGGAAAGAUGUAGAAAUGGUAGUUUAUUAAUUCCGCAGUGUGUAUUCAGUUAUAAAGAAGGGAGGUAUGAUAGGAUUUGCAUGCGAUUUUGUCCCACAUCGUCUCCAAAGCAAAAAAACCAUUCUUUUGUUAAUCUAUUUAGCGGCCUCUAGUUAUGAACUUCAACACACAGCUAUUGGGCCCGCCUAAGUGCGGGCCCUUGAUGGCUCACAUCACCUUGUAGGAAGGUCCUUCCAAUGUUGCAGUAUGCUGCAAAUCUUGUCUGCACGUUUGCUGGCUCUUGGCUGUCAGCACCCCUCCCCAUCUGCGAUUCAAGCAAUUAAACACACCUUUCUUGGUUCUAUCCCACCUGCGAUUCAAGUAAUCAAACACACCUUUCUUGGUGCUGCCCGAGUUACAAAUCCAGGCUAUUAAACAACCUUUCUUGGUGCUCAAGGAAGUAGUCCACACUAUCAACUGUGCAUUUGCACAUGAAGCACCAGGCGUCAGUUGACAGAUGUGAUCCUUCACGCUCUCAUGUUCUCGGCUGUAAGCAUUGGACCCGAGUUGCGACCCAAGCUAAUAAACAUAUCCUCCUUGGUGCUCAAGGAAGUAGCCCACAUUCUUAACUGUGAAUUUGCACAUGAAGCACCAAGUAACAGCAGUAUAUGUGAUCCUUCGCGUACUCAUGUUCUCUGCUGUCAGCACUGGACUGGAGCUGCGGACCAAGCUAAUAAACACACCUUUCUUAGUGCCCAAGGUAUUUAAACUAAUAAAUUGGGAUCACACAUUCAAAUCAAGAUAGAAUUUUCUGUAUCAUGCAUUUGCAUAGGUUGGAACUUGGAAGCAGAAGUUUGGGCAAGUAAAAACCGUAAGAGCAAUUUAUUUUUAAGCCAUACAAUUGUUUGUGAUCUCAUAACAUUUUUGGGAGGAGUACAUGACCUUUUAUGAAAUUUCUAUUUAAUUUACCAUCUAAAAAACAGCAUUUUUUUUAAUAGCUACAUUAUUCUUCAUUUAUCACCCUACUUUGUGGGAUUAUAUUGGGUAUGUUGUUGUCGUAUCCCUGUAUCUCUUCAUCAUUCUUCCCUAGGGAUGUGAAACUUUCUUCAUUGUGCCUGACAUAGUCCACUGUAUUCCAAACCAAUUCUGCACUCUCACUAUAGCUGUGUUGCCACUUUUGCAAUGUAACAGGAAGUAGUCCACAUUCUCAACUGUGCAUUUGCACAUGAAGCACCAAGUUAACAGCAGUAUAUGUGAUCCUUCGGGUACUCAUGUUCUCGGCUGUCAGCACUGGACACGAGCUGCGACCCAAUCUGAUAAACACACCUUUCUUGGUGCUCAGUUGGAUCAUACAACUCGUGGUAUAAAGGAGAGGACUUAUUCCUGGAGCCUGGUCAGUAAUACUGGAUUAGGCUGAAUUGGCAAUUAACCAGGCUGCGGUGCAAACUUGCUUUCUGUAAGCAAGAUUCCGAUGGAUAAACUUACUGAUAGUCCAGCAGUUGUAGAAGCUAUAGAAAUUAGAACCUCAGAUUGGCGGAGUCUCCUAUCAAUCAGUGAUUUCAAGGCCCGUUUGGGAGUCAAAAAGUCCAAUGAACUUUUAGACUUUUGACUUUACAAAUUAACAACUAUGGU